ensembl:lncRNA
CUCAUAUAAUAGUUCACUUAUAUUUUCUUUCUUUCUUUUUUGGUUAGGCAUAUUUUCACUGAUGAUUUGUUUAAUUACCAUACUUAUGAUAAAAAGAUAAAAAAAAAGAAAGAAUUGUUUUGAGAAACUUUCUUUACAUAAUUUACAAUUACAGGGAUCAAAUCUGCUUGUUUGAUUGUUUGUUUGUUUGUUUGCUGCUAAUGAUGGCUUGUAUGUGCACUAUAGUGAUUUCUAUUAAUGGAAUUACUGGUUUUGAUGAGUGACAAUAUUAAGUUAUCUGCAUACUGCAAAUAUCUUAUUGCUGAUGCAAUAUGAGGAAACCAACCCUGAACAGACAAUACAGAUUGAGCAAUAAAUCAUGAUCACAGGUGGUAAGCCACAUAUGGAGACAUCUACUGUUUUCUGUACACAAUACAAUAGUUAGACUAAAAUAAUAAGAAUACAGCUUUUUCAAGUGAUUUCAUUAAGACAUCAUGUUCAGAACAACAAUUCUACAAAGUCUUUCUUAGGUGAUAUGCCAAUCAAAUUGUAACCUCAUCCCAUGUGAUUCGCUUAGCUGUUUACCUGUGGAAUGGCUUUAAGCCUUGGUGGCUCAUUAGGUUUGAUGAAAGUAAUUAACACUGUCAUUAAUUAAAACAGAUCCUCUAUUUAGCCUUUUAAUUGGUAAAAAAGCUUGUUUGUUUGGAAAGCAAUCAGUGUGACUGAGGCAUUAACUAACUGCCAACUAUUAACAGGGGAAAGACUGAACAAAUGACAUGUUGUAAUGACCUGUAACAAGGUCUACAGUGAAAACAGCUUAAGAACACUGCUGAAUGGUCCCAAAAGAGAGUGUUUCACUUGUACCUGAUUUUCUGUCACAGAAGACUUUGCUUUUGUGCAGCUGACCUUUGAAAAAGCUUUCAUCCAACAGAUUUAGUUAUGCUUAGUUAUGCAGCUGUUUGUGAAUGAAUUAUUCUUUUGAACUAGUUCACCAAAUCGGACUGAAUUGUCUGUAACUCGAGUCAGCACUUAAGCACUGACUGAUCCACAAGUUACUCAAAGAUAUUUUGGACAUACUUGACAGUCACUGACACGAAAUAAGCCAAUAUCAGUUUUUUGCCAACUCUUUUUAGCUGUAAUUCAGUUAAACACUGAAGUGAUACGUCACUAAAAGUAGGUAAAAAGCCACACAACUAAAGGCUCUAGCACCAAAAGAACUUAACUUUAA